GACGAACCGUGCGAACGUUGUUCGGAAUCACUGGGCUUAAAGGGCGCGUAGGCGGGCUGCCAAGUCUGGGGUGAAAUCCCACGGCUCAACCGUGGAACUGCCUCGGAUACUGGCGGCCUCGAGGGAGGUAGGGGCGUGCGGAACUGUGGGUGGAGCGGUGAAAUGCGUUGAUAUCCACAGGAACUCCGGUGGCGAAAGCGGCGCGCUGGACCUCUUCUGACGCUGAGGCGCGAAAGCUAGGGGAG
rnacentral:rRNA from 1 species